UACGAAGGGGGCUAGCGUUGCUCGGAAUCACUGGGCGUAAAGCGCGCGUAGGCGGUCUGUUAAGUGGGAUGUGAAAUCCCCGGGCUUAACCUGGGAAUUGCAUUUCAAACUGGCCGACUAGAGUACGGUAGAGGGAGGUAGAAUUUCCUGUGUAGCGGUGAAAUGCGUAGAUAUAGGAAGGAAUACCAGUGGCGAAGGCGGCCUCCUGGAUCGAUACUGACGCUGAGGCGCGAAAGCGUGGGGAGCGAACAGG
rnacentral:rRNA from 1 species